AUGACUAUUUUUUAAUUUUCAAAAUAUAUGGUUCCUUUUAAUAAGAUUAAAAGCAAGUUGUAUGUCGUCUUUGGAACUUCAAAAAAUCGUACCCUAACUUACGGGGUUUCGAUUUCCUCGUCAAACUAAAACAGCCAAACAUUUAUAACUUACGGGAUAAAACAUUUGGAACUUCAAGGUUAGCUUAUGCUCGAGAAUUCAAACGUUGCAUCCUAACUUACGAGAUACGACAUUUUGUUGCCUCUUGAUGAGAAACCCUUUUAUAUUCGUUCAAAUCUAUCCAAACAUUAUUUUAAAAUAUGACAUUAAUAAAAAGGGGAAAUCAUUUUUAAUCUCUUCGAAUUUUCGACAUUCAACUUUAAGACAUUAAUUAAUCAAUUAAGUACCAAUUUUGAGCGUGACGAGAGUGCUAAUCAUUCCUCACACGUAACCGACUCCCGAACCCAUUUUUUUCGAAUUUCGUAGACCAAAAAUCAUUGUUUUAGUAAAUUAAAACUCUUAUUAAAACGAUCAUAUUACGAGGUGAUCCGAUCACACCUCAUAAAAAAAAGAUUAGUGGUGACUCCUAUUUUCAUUUUCGUUUUCAAAGUAAAAGUCGACCCCUUUUAUAAAAAAAUGGUUUCGACAUGCUUAAUUACAAAUGUAUUAAAAUCAUUAAUUAAAAAUAAAAAAUAUUUUUUUAAAAUACUAAUUAAAAAUAUUUAAUAGUUAUAUUCAAAUAUUUAAAAUAUAGUUUAUAUAUUUUAAUUAAAUUUUAUAAAUAAUUAAUAUUUACUGCUUAAAAAUAUUUAAAAUUUAUAUUUCAUAUAUUAAAAUAUUAAAAACAAGUUAUAAUAAUUUUUUCAUAUUCUUACUAAAAUAUAAUAAUAUUAACUAAUUUAUGUGUGUUUUAUCUUUAAAAAAAGUCUGCUACCCUAGCAUGUCUCUGUCUGCCCUUCUGGCAAGUCUAGGUUUUCUUUUUUUUUUUUCAAUAGUUUUUUUGGUUUGACGGCUGAGUUUUCCAGUGUUGUGAACAAUCUUCUCCUGCAAGUGGAAGGAGAAAUAGAAUCGGUAAGUAAAGAAGAAGAUUUAAGUCUAGUUGGGUGUUUCCUUACAGCCAGAAUCAUGCAUUACCCAGCAAUGAAAAAUACUAUGGCUAAUUUAUGGCAUCCAAUCAAGGGGGUUCAAAUUAGAGAUUUGGGAGAAAAGAGGUAUAUUUUUAAAUUUUUUCACAUUAUGGAUAUGGAGAAAGUUAUUAAAGGGUCCCCUUGGACAUUUAAUAACCAUCUGCUGAUUCUGCAUAAGUUGCAAUGGGGAGAGGACCCACUCAGAAUUCCAUUAAUUUCAUCAUCUUUUUGUGUACAAGUUCAUGAGGUUCCCAUUGGUUUUUACUCUGAAAGUUUAGCCAUGCAAUUAGGAAAUUUUAUUGGAACUUUCCAGGAGUAUGAUAGUUCUAGUUUUGGGGAAAGAAAAUAUGAAUUAUAUGCGGAUUAGAGUACACAUUGAUAUCCGUCGCCCUCUCAAAAGGAAAAAACAGAUUAAAUUUAAGAAUAUGUGUUCUUAUGUCAGAUUUAAGUAUGAGAGAUUAACUCUCUUUUGCUUCUCCUGUGGCCGGUUAGGGCAUAACGAUUCCUUUUGCAAAGCAAAAAUGGAAGCUGAGGUUGAAAUAGAAGAAAUGGGAUGGGAUCUAUCUUUGCGGGCACAGUCAAUGAGAGCACAAGCAAUGCGCAGUGCCUAGUUAAGGGAGGAGGGAUGAUCAGUAGGCAAAAAUAAUAGAUAUGAAUUCAAGAGUGAUAGAGAUUGGAGGAAAGUAGGAAAAUUUGAGAAUAUUCCGGAUCCAAUUCUAGGUUUUAAUCUGGAAGGUAACGGGCUUUACGCAGAGCUAGAAAGUUCAAGGAAGCUAAUUGGUAAUAAUAACAUAGAGAUGGAGCAUGAUUUGGAGAAUGAGCUGAUUGUAGGAGAGGAGGGGAAAAAGAGGACUAGAGGGGAAAUAGAAGAAAAUAUGGAGGCAGGAGGGAAGAAUAGGAGAAUGGCUGAAUCUAACCAUUUGUUAUCGGCGGCUGCCAAGAGGCAAGCCGACCAGUCGCAAUGAAAAUCUUAAGCUGGAAUGUCCGAGGGUUGGGGAAUCCUCAGACAGUUCGACGACUUCGGCAUUUGCUGAAGCAACAUCAUCCCCAAGUGGUCUUCUUAAUGGAGACAAAAUUAAACAAAAAUAAAAUGGAAAAAAGUUCAAAGAAGGUGUGGGUUUCAGUUUGGCAUUGAUGCUGACUCGAUUGGAUCGAAAGGUGGGCUAAGUUUGGCAUGGCAAGAAAAUGUUAAUAUUAAACUACAAAGCUUUUCAAACCGACAUAUUGAUGUGUUUAUUGAGGAUGGAGAGGAAGGGAAAAUAUGGAGACUUACAGGUUUUUAUGGAUCCCCUUAUUCACAAGACAGGGAUGCAACAUGGAAUCUAUUGAGGCAAUUACGAAAUCAGGGAGAAUACCCUUGGUUGGUUUGCGGGGAUUUUAAUGAAAUCUUAUAUGGUUUCGAAAAGAAAUGUGGAUUACCUAGGGAGGAAAGAAGAAUGGAGGCAUUUAGACAAGUUUUAGAAGAUUGUAAUCUGGUUGAUUUGGGAUAUUCUGGCAGAUGGUUCACAUGGGAAAGAGGAAACUUAAUUGAAACAAAUAUUCAGGAGAGACUUGACAAAGGUGUUGCAACGGAGCAAUGGAGCGACUUAUUCCCAAACAAUUUGGUACAUCUUCCACAUUCAUUCUCGGACCAUUGUCCAAUUGUUUUAGAUACGGCUUACAAGAAUGGAGAGAGGGCAAGAAGAAACUUCAAGUUUGAAGCGUGGUGGGUACUAGAAGAAACAUUCUUUAGUGGAACUAAAAGAAUUUAGGAAAAUUCUACAGGAGGUCUUAUAAACAAGCUGGAGAUCCUCAAAUAAGGGUUGGAGAAGUGGGGAGUUAAAAUCUAACAGAAUAGGAAAAUGAAAACAAAGGGUUUGACUUCAAAAUUGAUAGCAUUACUUGAAGAAGACAGAAGUGAUGAGAAUCUGGCAGAGAUUAUUGAUACAAAAAUCCAUCUGAACUUUGAGAUUGAAGAAGAUGAGAGUUACUGGGAACAGAGGGCCCGAAUUAAUUGGCUAAAGCUAGGGGAUAAAAAUACAACUUUCUUCCACAAGCAUCACAAAGAAGAAAACUUAAUCAGAUACAUAAAUUGCAAUCAGAAGACGGAAGGGAAACAGAUGAGUGGAAGGAAAAGGAGGAAAUCGCUAGAUUGUAUUUUCAAAAAUUAUUUAAUACAGGAGGACAAAAUCAUUGCGAUAGAAUCCUAACAGGUAUUGAAGGCCGUAUCACAGAGGAAGACAAUAAUACUUUAAAGGCAAGAUACACAAAAGAAGAGAUACUGGAAGCGCUUUUUAGAAUGGGACCUACAAAAGCUCCAGGAGAGGACGGUUUUCCAGCCCUGUUUUAUCAAAAGUGUUGGCCAAUUGUUGGAGAGGAUGUAACCAAUUUUUGUCUUCAGAGGUUAAACGAAGGUAUGGAUUUACAUUCAAUCAAUAAAACAAACAUUGUGCUUAUUUUAAAAGUCCUGAAUCCCUCAAGGAUUACUCAGUUUCGACCAAUUAGUUUAUGCAAUGUGAUUUACAAGCUAAUAGCGAAAGUUAUUGCUAGACGACUCAGAGGAGUAAUGCAUAAAUGUAUUGAUUUAGCUCAAAGCACUUUUGUCCCAGGAAAGCUGAUUUCAGAUAAUGUCUUACUUGCGUAUGAAAUCUUACAUACUCUAAAACUCAAGAGGGUGGGGAAAAGAGAAUUCAUGGCUAUCAAACUUGAUACGAGUAAAGCAUACAAUAGAGUCAAAUGGAGCUUUGUGGAAAGGGUAAUAAAAAAGUUGGGUUUUGAUCCAGGAUGGGUUGUUUCAAUUUUGAAAUGUGUCUCAACGGUCUCAUAUGAGGUGAUUAUCAAUGGCAACAGAGGGCAAACGAUAAUUCCAUCUAGAGGAAUCAGACAAGGUGACCCUCUCAGUCCGUUCUUAUUUCUGUUCUGUGCAGAAGGUCUAUCGAGUUUAAUGCGGCUUGCAAAAGAAUAAAGUAUCCUUAGAGGAGUUAAAGCAAGUCAAAGAGGACCAGCUAUCUCACAUUUACUCUUUGCCGAUGAUUGUAUUUUAUUUGCAGAAGCUUCAGAAAAAGGGGCACAUGCUUUAAAACAGAUUCUAAAGGAAUAUGAAUUGAGUUCAGGGCAAUGUGUGAAUUAUGAAAAAUCAACUGUUUUCUUCAGUACAAACACAGAAGAGCAUGUAAGGGGUAAUGUCUCAAUGAUCCUAGGAGUUAGAAGAGCGAAUGAUAUAGAGAGAUACCUAGGGCUUCCUAGUAUGGUGGGAAAAAGAAAGAAAAUAUCUUUUCAAAGUUUGAAAGACAGACUCAAACAAAGGAUUGAUAAUUGGAGUACAAGGUUUCUAUCCCAAGGAGGCAAGGAAGUUUUUAUUAAAGCAAUCUUACAAGCUAUCCCAACGUAUUCAAUGUCGUGUUUUCUACUCCCUAAGACCCUAUGUACGGAUCUGGAAAGAAUUGUUGCUAAUUUCUGGUGGCGUAAGAAAUGGAAUAAAAAAAGUAUCCAUUGGUGUACCUGGGAGAAUCUUUGCUUAUUAAAAGAAAAUGGUGGUCUUGGUUUCCGAAAUUUUAGGAAGUUUAAUAUUGCUUUAUUAGCGAAACAGGGUUGGCGUCUUGUUAAUUACCCAAAUUCAUUAUUAGCUCGUGUUUUGAAAUCAAAGUAUUAUCCCAAUUCAGAUUUCUUGAAAGCUCGGCUAGGAAAUUUACCUUCACUUACCUGGAGAAGUGUUUGGUCUGCGAAAGGUCUGCUUGAAAAAGGUCUAUGCUGGAGAGUAGGUCGAGGUGAUAGGAUUUCCAUCUGUGAUGAUCUGUGGUUACCAGGAAAGGAAAUGGUUAGAAUACCGAAUCAAGAAGUGAAUGGUAAUUUUGAAUUUGUCUCAGAGUUGAUUGAACCAAGUAACAGAAAGUGGAAAACAGAGCUAAUAAAGGAUACCUUCAAACCAGCUGUAGCGGAGAAAAUAUUGAGGAUCCCAUUGGCGGAGACAGAACAUGAAGAUCUUCAAGUUUGAAAAGGGGAGUCGACCGGAGAAUUUUCAGUUAGGAGCGUCUAUAAACAAUUACAUGAGUUGACUUUGGAUCCUAAUGAGUUAUUUUUACAUACCGAAACUAUAAGCUUUUACAGGAAACUAUGGACAUUACAAAUUCCAUCGAAAAUCAAAAUGACUAUAUGGAGGAUUUCAUGGAACUAUAUCCCCUCUUUUCUCAAUCUCAAAAUAAAGCGGGUUUUGGUGAAUACUAAAUGUCCCAGAUGUGAGUGUGAAGAAGAAAGCAGUCUCCAUAUUUUCCAACAGUGCCCUGCAGUGAUUGAGGUCUGGUAUCAUCUUAAUCUUUCGUGGACAUUGAACUACAAUAAUGAGGAUUUAUGGAGAUGGCUUAUCGGAAUCUUUGGUCAAGGAAACGAGGAGCAGUUGCGACUAUUCUGCUGUGGACUAUGGUAUAUCUGGUUCAGUAGAAAUCAACUUAUUUAUGGAAAAAAUCAAAUGUCAGGAUCAGAAAUAGCAAGGAAAAUUAGAAACUAUUUAACAGAACUCGAAGCAGCAAAAAAAGAUAAACCUACCUUCCAUACUUCUGACUGUUAUCAACAGGUUUUCAAAAGGGGAUGGGCAACUGUUCAUUUUGAUGCAGCGUUUGAUAGUCAGACGUUCAGAUCGGCAUCGGGGUUAAUAGUUUGGAAUGGGGAAGGGGAAAUCCUUGCGUCUUUAGCAGUUCUCCACUCCAACAUCGAAGAUUCAUUCACAGCGGAGGCUCAUGCAGGAUUACAAGCAAUCACUCUAGGUAUUAAUUUGGGAAUCAACAAAAUAGAGAUAAUGGGUGAUGCAAAAACAGUUAUCAAAAAGUGUAAAAGUUCCAUUACAGAUAGAUCGGUCAUUGGAGCAAUAAUCAGAGAUAUUCGGAACCGGAAAAAUUGUUACCAGGAGAUUAAGUUUUCUUUUAUUCCAAAAGCAAAAAACAUCUAUGCUCACACUAUUGCAACGGAGGCUCUUAAGAGAAGCGAAAGUUUUUACUUGGAGAAGGGAGUCCCAGAGACAGUCAUUCGAGUGCUAGAGAGGCGCGGAUGGAAACCUCCUGAUUGAAGAAAUGAAAGGUUCUUAUGCAAUAAAGGAUAGCAGAGUAAGAGAAGCAUUGGAACCUGCUAUCAUUAAAGCUGGUGGGUGGCUCUGAACGGAAAUGACAAAGUGAUGUCCAGCUAUAUUGAUUUGACUGGGUUUGGAUAAGUACGAGUUUUAUUUUAUUUUGUUUAUUUAUUAGGCCCAAUUUGUUUCUGGAUAAGCACGAGUUUUAUUUUACUUUAUUUUGUUUAUUUAUUAGGCCCAAUUUGUUUCCAGACUUUCUUAUGUAAGGCCUUAGGCCAUUCUCAUUUGUUCAUGAUUUAUU
rnacentral:lncRNA from 1 species